rnacentral:misc_RNA from 1 species
GAAAUGCGAUAAGUAGUGUGAAUUGCAGAAUUCAGUGAAUCAUCGAAUCUUUGAACGCACAUUGCGCCCUUUGGUAUUCCUUAGGGCAUGCCUGUUCGAGCGUCAUCUAAACCUUCAAGCCCUGCUUGGUGUUGGGUGCCUGUCCCGCCUCCGCGCGCGGACUCACCUCAAAUCCAUUGGCGGCCCCCGCGUCGGCCACGAGCGCAGCAGAAACGCGAACUCGUGAGCCCGUCCGGGCGGCUCCCAGAAGCUACACCCACCCAGUUUGACCUCGGAUCAGGUAGGGAUAUCCGCUGAACUUAAGCA